rnacentral:tRNA from 1 species
GGUGCUGUGGCACAGUGGGUUAACGCCCUGGCCUGAAGGGCCAGCAUCCCAUACGGGCACCGGUUCGAAUCCCGGCUGCUCCA